CCUACGGGGGACUGCAGUGAGGAAUAUUGGUCAAUGGACGAGAGUCUGAACCAGCCAAGUAGCGUGAAGGAUGACUGCCCUAUGGGUUGUAAACUUCUUUUAUAUGGGAAUAAAAUGUUCCACGUGUGGGCUUUUGUAUGUACCAUAUGAAUAAGGAUCGGCUAACUCCGUGCCAGCAGCCGCGGUAAUACGGAGGAUUCGAGCGUUAUCCGGAUUUAUUGGGUUUAAAGGGAGCGUAGGUGGAUUGUUAAGUCAGUUGUGAAAGUUUGCGGCUCAACCGUAAAAUUGCAGUUGAAACUGGCAGUCUUGAGUACAGUAGAGGUGGGCGGAAUUCGUGGUGUAGCGGUGAAAUGCUUAGAUAUCACGAAGAACUCCGAUUGCGAAGGCAGCUCACUGGACUGCAACUGACACUGAGGCUCGAAAGUGUGGGUAUCAAACAGGAUUAGAUACCCUGGUAGUC
rnacentral:rRNA from 1 species